CAGUCGCCGCGGUAAUACGAAGGGUGCAAGCGUUACUCGGAAUUACUGGGCGUAAAGCGUGCGUAGGUGGUUGUUUAAGUCUGCUGUGAAAGCCCUGGGCUCAACCUGGGAAUUGCAGUGGAUACUGGGCGACUAGAGUAAGGUAGAGGAUAGUGGAAUUUCCGGUGUAGCAGUGAAAUGCGUAGAGAUCGGAAGGAACAUCUGUGGCGAAGGCGACUAUCUGGGCCAUUACUGACACUGAGGCACGAAAGCGUGGGGAGCAAACAGGAUUAGAUACCCCAGUAGUCCCUGUCUCUUAUAC
rnacentral:rRNA from 1 species